rnacentral:rRNA from 1 species
AGAGUUUGAUCCUGGCUCAGAACGAACGCUGGCGGCGCGUUUUAAGCAUGCAAGUCGAACGGUAAUACAGUGCUUGCACUGUAUGAGAGUGGCGGACGGGGGAGUAACACGUAGGUGAUCUAUCUUGUGGUCUGGGAUAGCUUGUGGAAACACAGGGUAAUACCGGAUGAGAGCUGUAUUUUACGGAGUACAGGGGAAAGCCGCUUAGGCACCGUCCGGGGAUGAGUCUGCGGCUCAUUAGCUAGUUGGUGGGGUAAAAGCCUACCAAGGCAACGAUGGAUAGCCGGUCUGAGAGGGUGAUCGGCCACACUGGGACUGAGACACGGCCCAGACUCCUACGGGAGGCAGCAGCUAAGAAUCUUCCGCAAUGGGGGAAACCCUGACGGAGCGACGCCGCGUGGACGAAGAAGGCCGGAAGGUUGUAAAGUCCUUUUCCUGGGGGAGAAUAACGGCCGGAGGGAAUGCCGGUCAGAUGACGUGAACCAGGGAAUAAGCCCCGGCUAAUUACGUGCCAGCAGCCGCGGUAACACGUAAGGGGCAAGCGUUGUUCGGAAUUAUUGGGCGUAAAGGGCGCGUAGGCGGUUUUACAAGUCUGGUGUGAAAUAUCUCAGCUCAACUGAGAAAACGCGCUGGAAACUGUAAGACUAGAAUCUAGGAGGGGAAGCUGGAAUUCCUGGUGUAGGGGUGAAAUCUGUAGAGAUCAGGAAGAACACCGAUGGCGAAGGCAAGCUUCUUGCCAUGGACUGACGCUGAGGCACGAAAGCGUGGGGAGCGAACAGGAUUAGAUACCCUGGUAGUCCACGCCGUAAACGAUGUGCACUAGGUGUUGGCGGUAUAAGGUUCAGUGCCGUAGCGAACGUGUUAAGUGCACCGCCUGGGGAGUAUGCUCGCAAGGGUGAAACUCAAAGGAAUUGACGGGGGCCCGCACAAGCGGUGGAGCAUGUGGUUUAAUUCGAUGAUACGCGAGGAACCUUACCAGGGCUUGACAUAGACACGACGGCUGUAGAGAUACAGCUUCUCUUCGGAGCAUCUAUACAGGUGCUGCAUGGUUGUCGUCAGCUCGUGCCGUGAGGUGUUGGGUUAAGUCCCGCAACGAGCGCAACCCUUACUGUCUGUUGCUAACAGGUAGAGCUGAGGACUCGGACAGAACUGCCGGUGACAAACCGGAGGAAGGUGGGGACGACGUCAAAUCAUCAUGGCCCUUAUAUCCUGGGCUACACACGUGCUACAAUGGCCGGUACAGAGUGAUGCGAAGCAGCGAUGUGGAGCAAAACGCUUAAAGCCGGUCUCAGUUCGGAUUGGAGUCUGAAACUCGACUCCAUGAAGGUGGAAUCGCUAGUAAUCGCGCAUCAGCAUGGCGCGGUGAAUACGUUCCCGGGCCUUGUACACACCGCCCGUCACACCACCCGAGUUGGGGGUACCCGAAGUCGCUAGUCUAACCUGCAAAGGAGGACGGCGCCGAAGGUAUGCCUGGUAAGGGGGGUGAAGUCGAAACAAGGUAGCC